AACGAACGCUGGCGGCAUGCCUAACACAUGCAAGUCGAACGAGACCUUCGGGUCUAGUGGCGCACGGGUGCGUAACGCGUGGGAACCUGCCUUUAGGUUCGGAAUAACUCAGAGAAAUUUGAGCUAAUACCGGAUGAUGUCUUCGGACCAAAGAUUUAUCGCCUUUAGAUGGGCCCGCGUUGGAUUAGCUAGUUGGUGGGGUAAAGGCCUACCAAGGCGACGAUCCAUAGCUGGUCUGAGAGGAUGAUCAGCCACACUGGGGCUGAGACACGGCCCAGACUCCUACGGGAGGCAGCAGUGGGGAAUAUUGGACAAUGGGCGAAAGCCUGAUCCAGCAAUGCCGCGUGAGUGAUGAAGGCCUUAGGGUUGUAAAGCUCCUUUACCCGAGAUGAUAAUGACAGUAUCGGGAGAAUAAGCUCCGGCUAACUCCGUG
rnacentral:rRNA from 1 species